rnacentral:ribozyme from 1 species
AGUCGUUGCAUCGACUAUAAAAAGCCCGUUAGGAUGCAAGCGUUCCGCCCAUUGUGGGCGGAGGUCGGG